AUUGAACGCUAACGGCAUGCUUAACACAUGCAAGUCGAACGGCAGCACAGCAGUAGCAAUACUGUGGGUGGCGAGUGGCGGACGGGUGAGUAAUGUAUAGGAAUCUGCCUUGUAGUGGGGGAUAACCUGGGGAAACUCGGGCUAAUACCGCAUAAUCUUUACGAAGCAAAGCGGGGGAUCGUAAGACCUUGCGCUAUAAGAUGAGCCUAUAUUGGAUUAGCUAGUUGGUGGGGUAAAGGCCUACCAAGGCGACGAUCCAUAGCUGGUCUGACAGGUUGAUCAGACACCUUGGGACUGAGACACGGCCCAGACUCCGACGGGAGGCAGCAGUGGUGAAUAUUGGACAAUGGGGGAAACCCUGAUCCAGCAAUGCCGUGUGUGUGAAGAAGGCCUUCGGGUUGUAAAGCACUUUUAGUGGGAAAGAAAAGCUCAAAGCUAAUAACUUUUAACCGUGACGCUACCCAAAGAAAAAGCACCGGCUAACUCUGUGCCAGCCGCCGCGGUAA
rnacentral:rRNA from 1 species